rnacentral:rRNA from 1 species
AAUAGAUACCCGGGUAGUCCACGCCGUAAACGAUGAGUGCUAAGUGUUAGAGGGUUUCCGCCCUUUAGUGCUGCAGCUAACGCAUUAAGCACUCCGCCUGGGGAGUACGGCCGCAAGGCUGAAACUCAAAGGAAUUGACGGGGGCCCGCACAAGCGGUGGAGCAUGUGGUUUAAUUCGAAGCAACGCGAAGAACCUUACCAGGUCUUGACAUCCUCUGCCAACCCUAGAGAUAGGGCGUUCCCCUUCGGGGGACAGAGUGACAGGUGGUGCAUGGUUGUCGUCAGCUCGUGUCGUGAGAUGUUGGGUUAAGUCCCGCAACGAGCGCAACCCUUGAUCUUAGUUGCCAGCAUUCAGUUGGGCACUCUAAGGUGACUGCCGGUGACAAACCGGAGGAAGGUGGGGAUGACGUCAAAUCAUCAUGCCCCUUAUGACCUGGGCUACACACGUGCUACAAUGGAUGGUACAAAGAGCUGCGAACCCGCGAGGGUAAGCCAAUCUCAUAAAAGCCAUUCUCAGUUCGGA